UGGAUAUCCACCUUCCCAACCUCCACCUGAAAUGUGCCCAUCGAGUCCUGGCACCUUUUACCAUUUCUUCACAAUGAAAAAAACUAAACGAUGGAAGGGAAGGGAGUACCCACGAUCACCAAACCCUGUCCUCUGCAAUGUGAAAUGUGCUUUGAAGUCCUUUCACCCUGAGGCUUGCCCGCCUUCUGCUGGUGAAAGAAGCUGGGGGCUAGGCGCGGUGGAUCACGCCUGUAAUCCCAGCACUUUCGGAGGCCGAGGUGGGCGGAUCGUCUGAGCUCUGCAACCCAGAGAGUGACCUGCAUGGAGCGUGCCAGCUGAAUCCCUUGUCCUGUGUCUUCUGGCUGAGUUCUACCAUAGGAAACACCGCCACGUGGGAGAACAGGAAGACAUUGAUGUCUGGGUGCUUAUUCCUAAAGCUUCCUCCCUGAGGUCACCUGGAGGUUGCUGCAUCUCUCUACUGAAG
ensembl:lncRNA SMG1-DT SMG1 divergent transcript